AUACGGAGGGUGCAAGCGUUAAUCGGAAUUACUGGGCGUAAAGCGCACGCAGGCGGUUUGUUAAGUCAGAUGUGAAAUCCCCGGGCUCAACCUGGGAACUGCAUCUGAUACUGGCAAGCUUGAGUCUCGUAGAGGGGGGUAGAAUUUCAGGGGUAGCGGUGAAAUGCGUAGAGAUCUGGAGGAAUACCGGUGGCGAAGGCGGCCCCCUGGACGAAGACUGACGCUCAGGUGCGAAAGCGUGGGGAGCAAACAGGAUUAGAUACCCUGGUAGUCCACGCCGUAAACGAUGUCGACUUGGAGGUUGUGCCCUUGAGGCGUGGCUUCCGGAGCUAACGCGUUAAGUCGACCGCCUGGGGAGUACGGCCGCAAGGUUAAAACUCAAAUGAAUUGGCGGGG
rnacentral:rRNA from 1 species